GAUGAACGCUGGCGGCGUGCCUAAUACAUGCAAGUCGAGCGAACAGACGAGGAGCUUGCUCCUCUGACGUUAGCGGCGGACGGGUGAGUAACACGUGGAUAACCUACCUAUAAGACUGGGAUAACUUCGGGAAACCGGAGCUAAUACCGGAUAAUAUAUUGAACCGCAUGGUUCAAUAGUGAAAGACGGUUUUGCUGUCACUUCUAGAUGGAUCCGCGCCGCAUUAGCUAGUUGGUAAGGUAACGGCUUACCAAGGCAACGAUGCGUAGCCGACCUGAGAGAGGGAUCGGCCACACGGGAGCUGAGACGCGGUCCAGACUCCUACGGGAGGCAGCAGUAGGGAAUCGUCCGCAAUGGGCGAAAGCCUGACGGAACAACGCCGCGUGAGUGAUGAAGGUCUUCGGAGCGUAAAACUCUGUUAUUAGGGAAGAACAAAUGUGUAAGUAACUAUACACGUCUUGACGGUACCUAAUCAGAAAGCCACGGCUAACUACGUG
rnacentral:rRNA from 1 species